rnacentral:rRNA from 1 species
UACGUAGGGGGCAAGCGUUGUCCGGAUUUAUUGGGUUUAAAGGGUGCGUAGGCGGCCUUAUAAGUCAGUGCUGAAAUAUCCCGGCUUAACCGGGAGGGUGGCAUUGAUACUGUAGGGCUUGAGUGUAGUCGAGGUAGGCGGAAUUGACGGUAUAGCGGUGAAAAUGCUUAGAUAUCGUCAAGAACACCGAUAGUGUAGACAGCUUACUAGGCUACAACUGACGCUGAGGCACGAAAGUGUGGGGAUCAAACAGG